AAAGUGACUCCUUCACUUUCCACAAACAAGCCACAGACGAGGGCAGCUAAUUGUCUAUUUAAGCUCUGCCGGAAAUAAACCACCACAAGACAAUAUCAGCACAACUUGGGAGGCUGUUUCCAAAACUUUGAAAUGAAGGUGGUAACCAUACUGAAGAGCCAAUCUUUUUUCUCAAGGCUGAUUUUGCUGAGUAAGGAUUUGAUUGCCAUGGAUGCCAUCUUUUUACACAUGGCAGAGUCAUCGUUCACCAUCAUCAGACAAAGAGGAAUAAAGAACAUUCCACAGUUCUCGUGGAGCAGCCCCUGAAGAGAAAACAGACACGCAGACGGAAGUUCUCACAGGUGUCCUACCAAGGCUCACGGGAGCCACAGCAAACAAACACAAGCACGGAGCUUGUCCCUGGUUCACGGUACCUGAGGGAAUGUGUCAAAGAGGAAGCACGCCUCAUUUUACAGAUGAAGAGAAUGAAGCUGGCACACAGAGAGGGAGAUUUUCGCUGACCAGACCGUAACUAAGCAACAGAAUGGAUUCUGCUGUCAUUUCCUGGUUUACAAGUAAUCCUGCUAUGAUUCGGCGUAAGGUUUCAUGAACUUUCCGGGCCAGUUUUAAACUUGUG